CUACAGUGUUUAUAAUAGAAAGAAGCUGUUAUAUACUUUUAUGUCAAAGAUGCAAGACAACAAUGACAAUGACAAAAGAAAAACUUUCGGAAAGUCACUGAGAGAUUCCAAGUGCAUCGAUAACAAAUGAGGCAGAAAGUGUCAUCUGUCAGAAGAAAACAAGUACUUGAAAGGACAAGGGUCUCACAAAGUACUGAUUAAAUGUAACACGCUAUAUGAGGAUGCACAAAUGUGAAAUGCUUCAGUGAAGAAGAUGAACAACAGGUCUUUCAUCAAAUCAGGAAAAUAGAUUCUUCUUGCAGAGUUAUAUUAUCAUUGAGAAUUUGUAUAUCAAAAAAGAAGAAAAAGUAAGUGUGGAAGUAAAAAAGAUGAUCCAGAUUCCAGACUUUCUAGAAGUCUAAAAACUCUGAAUUAGUUGCAAUCAGAAAAAAAAAACAAACAUCUUUUUACUUAUCCCAUUUAGUAACAAAUCACAGAAAAAGCAGCUCUGUCUGUGAAGUAACAUGGAAGCUCGUUCAGCCAUGGACCACAUUCAUCACAAACUGAAGAUAAAGGCAUGUCUCAGUUUAUCUGAGAUAUUCAAGCUGUUUGGAAGAAUCUCAGUUUUUCUACUAGAAUACAGGCAAUUGAGGAGACCGUAAAUACCGAUUCCCAGAUUCCAGGAGUCACAAACUACAGACUGUUAGAUGGUACCAUGUUUCAGUAUGGUGUCUGAGAUUAUUCUCCUAUAUAAAACAAAGGGGAUUUUUUUUCCUUAAUUCAUAUCUGCUGAUUCUUAGUAUUUAAAAAGAUGGGCAAACGUAGAAACCUUGCUUGAAAUUAUUUAGAAUCACUAAAUAAUGUGCACAUUCAUCACAGAGCUAACAGUAAUAUUUAUGCUUGUGCUUUUUACAAACUAUUAACCACAAGUUUGAAAAUGGUCUAUUCUGCACCCUUCUUCCUCACAACAGUUCUUUAUCUGAGGUGGUAACGAGUAUUAAAGUUAAAUUAUAAAGGAAAUUGGCUACUUGUAUCUUCUGUGUAGAGACAGAAAAACAUUAAAGGGCAGCCCCAAGACUUUCUUAACUUUUUGCACUCUGGUUUGUUUCUAACAUUUAUGUCCAGUACAGUUUGCUGAUUAUAUGCUCAUUUGCUGAGUAUAUGCCCAUUGACUUUUAGCCUUCAAUAAUGUGUCUCCAGUCAAGCAAAUUUUGCCAAGCCUUUUGACAUAUGCUACCACAAUAAUAAAGCUGAGAAAAUAAAAUAUCCA
rnacentral:lncRNA from 1 species